GUCUGUCUGUCUGUCUGUCUGUCUGUCUGUCUGUCUGUCUGUCUGUCUGUCUGUCUGUCUGUCUGUCUGUCUGUCUGUCUGUCUGUCUGGGGCCUGGACUCAGGGAGAGAGUGGAGGGGUGAGAAGUAGUUCUGUCUGUCUGCUCGUAAUGUGUUGAUAGUAAUAUACUCUGUUGUUAGGUACAGAAUAGAGGGAGGUAAGUGGUUAGGCCACCCAAGGGAGUUGGGGGAAGUUGCACCUCGAUGCUGAUCUUGGGUCAGUUUUGCUUUUUCUCAACAAGUGGUUAAGGAUAGGUUUGGGGUUCGGUCAUGGCUAAAAGGGAUCCAUCUUUUGUCAGAUAAACGUCAUAUUUCACUUUUCAUAGCAGGUUAGGAGAAUUAGGUUAAGGUUAGGAAAAGGGUUAGGAUUAGCUAAAAUGCUAAAAAGAUCACCUUUUGAUGUUAAUUUG
rnacentral:lncRNA from 1 species